rnacentral:rRNA from 1 species
ACAAACAGAUCAAAUUAAAAGUAAAACAGUAAAGAAGGAGGUUAUAAAUUUAUUUUGAGGAAUAAUGCUUUUUAGAAAGGUAAAAUUUGCAUAAAAAGGGGUAAUUUAGGUUUCUUAUUUUUAGAGCCCUCGAAAUUUUGGUAUAAGACCGGGAUUAGAUACCCCGUUAUUCAAAACGUAAACUUUGAUUAUGAUAUAAUUUACUUGAGUACUACGAGUAUAGAUAAUAUAUUUUAGUAAUACGGACUUAAAACUCAAAAAACUUGGCGGUGCUCUAUACCCUUCUAGGGGAACCUGUCCUGUAAUCGAUAGUCCACGUUUUAGCUUACUUUCUUUUGUAUUUAUCAGCCUGUAUACCGUCGUCGUCAGAUAGCCUUUAAGAGAUAUGGAGCUGUCAGGAAGAAGGGAGAAAUGAAGUUGUAGGUUGUUUGGAUGUAUUAGGUGGUUAGAAAAUAAUUUUCAUGUUCUAGAUGUCAGAUCAAGGUGCAGCUUAUAAGAAAGAAGAGAUGGGUUACAAUAAUGGUUUAUUAUACGGAUUUUUAUUGGAAUAAGUAAAAUUGAAGGAGGACUUGGAAGUAAUCGGUUAAAGAUAAGAGAGCUUAGAUGAAGUAGGCUCUGGAGUGCGU